rnacentral:rRNA from 1 species
GGCAGCAGUGGGGAAUAUUGGACAAUGGGGGAAACCCUGAUCCAGCGACGCCGCGUGGGUGAAGAAGGCCUGCGGGUUGUAAAGCCCUUUCGUUGGGGAAGAAAAGUUGCUACCUAACACGUAGCGACCUUGACGUUACCCAAAGAAGAAGCACCGGCUAACUCUGUGCCAGCAGCCGCGGUAAUACAGAGGGUGCGAGCGUUAAUCGGAAUUACUGGGCGUAAAGCGCAUGCAGAUGGUUUGACAAGUCGGAUGUGAAAGCCCCGGGCUUAACCUGGGAACGGCACUCGAAACUGUCAGACUAGAAUGUGGAAGAGGGAAGUGGAAUUCCGGGUGUAGCAGUGAAAUGCGUAGAUAUCCGGAGGAACAUCAGUGGCGAAGGCGACUUCCUGGUCCAACAUUGACAUUCAGAUGCGAAAGCGUGGGGAGCAAACAGGAUUAGAUACCCUGGUAGUCCACGCCUUAAACGAUGCGAACUAGAUGUCGGAGGGGUCAGCCUUUCGGUGUCGCAGCUAACGCGAUAAGUUCGCCGCCUGGGGAGUACGGCCGCAAGGUUGAAACUC